GAGGGUUUUACUGUCUCUUACUUCCAAUCAGUGAAAUUGACCUUCCCGUGAAGAGGCGGGAAUGCACAAAUAAGACGAGAAGACCCUAUGGAGCUUUAACUAACCAACCCAAAGAGAAUAGAUUUAACCAUUAAGGAAUAACAACAAUCUCCAUGAGUUGGUAGUUUCGGUUGGGGUGACCUCGGAGAAUAAAAAAUCCUCCGAGCGAUUUUAAAGACUAGACCCACAAGUCAAAUCACUCUAUCGCUCAUUGAUCCAAAAACUUGAUCAACGGAACAAGUUACCCUAGGGAUAACAGCGCAAUCCUAUUCAAGAGUCCAUAUCGACAAUAGGGUUUACGACCUCGAUGUUGGAUCAGGACAUCCUGAUGGUGCAACCGCUAUCAAAGGUUCGUUGUUCAACGAUUAAAGUCCUACGUGAUCUGAGUUCAGACCGGAGUA
rnacentral:rRNA from 1 species